rnacentral:ncRNA from 1 species
UAAAACUUGCUAAUUAAUUGAUAUAUAUAUUAAUUUUUGUGGUUUUAAAAUUUUUAUAGAAAAUUUUAAAAUUUUUGUAGUAUAUAAAUUUAAAUAUAAAUUAAUUUUUGAUUUAGUAAAUUAUUUUAGUAUGAACAAAAUUUGUGCCAGCAGUAGCGGUUAUACAAAUUAUUCAAGUUAGUUUUUUUGAGGUUAAUUAAAAUGUUUAAUAUUAUGAACUUAGAUUCAAAUUUUUUAGGUGAAAUUUUAAAUUUGUAAAAAGUUUUUUUUAUUUUUGAAGUUAAAAUAUUUUGGUAUUAGACUAGGAUUAGAUACCCUAUUAUAAAAAAUGUAAUUUUUACCUUAAAUUAUUACAAGUUAUGUUCUUAAAAAUUAAAGAAUUUGGCGGUAUUUUAGUCUGUUCAGAGGAACCUGUCUUUUAAUUGAUAGUCCACGAUAAUUUUUACUUUAAUUUUAUGUUUAUAUAUCGUCGUUUAUAAAAAUUUUAUUAGAAUUGUAAUUUUUGAGGUUUUUUAUUAAGAUAUAUUUCAGAUCAAGGUGUAGCUUUUGUUAAAGUUGGGAUGGGUUACAUUACAUUUAUGUAUGGUUUUACAAUUUUGAAUUGUAAAUAAAUUGGAUUUGAUAGUAAAUUAUUUAUUUUUGAUUUUUGAUUUAGCUCUAAAAUAUGCACAUAUCGCCCGUCGCUUUCACUUUAAGGUGGAAUAAGUCGUAACAAAGUAGACUUAUUGGAAAAUGAGUCUGGAAUGAU